rfam:Novosphingobium sp. PP1Y main chromosome, complete replicon
UCACUUCACAUUCACGUUUGAUCGCCUAUAUGGGUCAUUGCCGGCUUCGGUCGGCUAUGACGAUAAAUUGCGGCGUGCAAUAGGCACAGCGGACCCGGGGGCGGUACCCGGCGGCUCCACCACCAACCUCGCCAAGGCGGCGUUGAUGACGGGGCCGAACUAGGAUCGACGUGUGUUGAAAAGCGGUGUUUUCGUCCGGGCUGAGUAACCCGUUCAAGGCUCAAAACUCAUAAGUGCCAACGACAACGAAGCACUUGCUCUCGCCGCGUAAUUCUAGGGCCUAACGGCCUGAAGUUACAAAGCUAGAACGCGGUUGGACCCACCGGUCAACAGAAGCGGAUUCCAGGGGUUCGGGGUGUACCUGGCAACAGAAACACCCCACU